AAUCGGAUGGGAGGCAAUGACGCGCGGCUCCCUACUCGGUCGCCCGAGCCGCGCCGAGCCACUGGCGAGCCCGACCCGUCCAGGG
ncrna:unclassified sequences c-di-GMP-II-GCG riboswitch